rnacentral:rRNA from 1 species
UACAGAGGGUGCUAGCGUUGUUCGGAAUCAUUGGGCGUAAAGCGUGUGUAGGCGGGUCGUUAAGUGCCUUGUGAAAUCCCAUGGCUCAACCAUGGAACUGCUGGGCAUACUGGCGAUCUUGUGCCACCUAGGGGCGAGCGGAACAGAUGGUGGAGCGGUGAAAUGCGUAGAUAUCAUCUGGAACGCCAAUGGUGAAAACAGCUCGCUGGGGGUGUGCAGACGCUGAGACACGAAAGCCAGGGGAGCGAACGGG